rnacentral:tRNA from 1 species
GCGCCUAUUGCCUAACGGAUAAGGCACCAGUCUUCGGAACUGGCUAUGGUGGUCCGAUUCCACCUAGGCGCA